rnacentral:rRNA from 1 species
CGCAGCCGCGGUAAUUCCAGCUCCAAUAGCGUAUAUUAAAGUUGUUGCAGUUAAAAAGCUCGUAGUUGAAUUUCGAGACCGGUUUAUUGGUCGUGCUUUUGUACGUACUGGUAUUAUUGGUUUCUCCUUUCUGACGAAUCUUAAUGCCAUUAAUUUGGUGUUUUGGGGAAUCAGGACUGUUACUUUGAAAAAUUAGAGUGUUUAAAGCAGGCUCACGCUUGAAUACAUUAGCAUGGAAUAACGGAAUAGGACGUUUGAUUCUAUUUUGUUGGUUUCUAGGAUCGACGUAAUGAUUAAUAGGGAUAGUUGGGGGCAUUAGUAUUCAAUUGUCAGAGGUGAAAUUCUUGGAUUUAUUGAAGACUAAACUACUGCGAAAGCAUUUGCCAAGGAUGUUUUCAUUAAUCAAGAACGAAAGUUAGGGGAUCGAAGACGAUCAGAUACCGUCGUAGUCUUAAACCAUAAACUAUGCCGACUAGGGAUCGGAUGAUGUUAAUUUUUUAAUGUACUCA